GACGAACGCUGGCGGCGUGCUUAACACAUGCAAGUCGAACGGAAAGGCCCGGCUUUUGUGGGGUGCUCGAGUGGCGAACGGGUGAGUAACACGUGAGUAACCUGCCCUUGACUGUGUGAUAACUUCAGGGAACUGGGGCUAAUACCGGAGAUGAGCUCCUGCUGCAUGGGGGGGGUUGGAAAGUGUCGGCGGUGGGGGAUGGACUCGCGGCUUAUCAGCUUGUUGGGGGGGUAGUGGCGUACCAAGGCUUUGACGGGUAGCCGGCAUGAGAGGGUGACCGGCGACAUUGGGACUGCGAUACGGCCCAGACUGGUAUGGGAGGCAGUAGGGGAGAAUAUUGCACAACGGGCGGACGCGUGAUGUAGAAACCUCGCGUGCGGGAUGCCGGCUUUUGGGUUGUAAACCGCUUUCGCCUGUGACGAAGCGUGAGUGACGGUAAUGGGUAAAGAAGCACCGGCUAACUACGUG
rnacentral:rRNA from 1 species